GGAAACUGAUUUAUUGGUUCACUACCGCUCCGGUUUUUGUGCCAGCCCAGAUUUAGAUAUUGUAUUUGGGCAGCCAAAGCUGAGCAGCCUGUCAUGAUGGCAGAUGUCACGCCGCUGAUAAAGUGUGGCAAGAAGGAAAAUUGCUUUCGAUUUCGUUUACACUCUUUGUCUUGUCACCUGGCUGAUAGCAUGAAAUUAUUGCUGUAAACAAUGCGAUGUUCGAGAUUGGCAAUAACUAUAGGAAAGAUGGCCGACUCGUGUUCACCAGAUCGGAGAUACGGCGCUCCGCCAGCCAGCCGCUCCGACUUUAACUGACUCAGCGCGGGAUGGCUGACAUUUUACAGCAGCUUCCGCUAUGACAGCGCGCUACGCAUACGCCCCAGUGGCAAGAGCAAAUAUUAAACAUUACUUUAGGACGCGCAGCAAAUAAGAAAGCACAGACGUCACUGAAGGCGAACGUACGCCGCCCCGUGAUAACAGUUUAGUGCCUCAAUUGGGCUACCAGGAGGGAGAUAGAGCCCCCAAAUAUUAUUAAAAACCGUCGAAGAGUACCAAAAGAUAGACCUGCCUGACCAUCUCGGCUCUUUCGGCUGUCAUCGCUUAAUUUUAGACACCCACUUGAGACCUCAACUGGGGCCUGAUUAUCGCGGCGGUAAUACUACACGUUUUAAUUUCGAUUGUUUGAUUAUUUGGCUUUCUAUUUAUGAUAUUUGCCCAGUGCCCCUGACGCUGGCUCCUAUUUGCAUAGCCCCACCAUGUUCUUAAUUAAUUAAACUUUUCCUCCUUGUUUAUUGGCGGUGACGACCCAAACACAA